CUUGGAGUAUGAUGGCUAAACUCUUCUUUUGGUCAAAAUUUUCUGGGAGACCAACUAUUCUCACAUUGCUUCUCUGUGAUCUAUUUUCAGAACCAACCAAUACACAGUGCUGAAUCAGAGACAGAAGAUGGAAGUUUUUUGAAGGAGUAUGUUGUGAUGACUGAGGGUCAAAAUGAUGAACAAGAUCAGUCUAGGAAAGAACUGAUUCAGCUCUAAAAACUUGGAAGUGUAAUAACAGAGGGUCAGAGAGCUGCUCUUUUCUCCCAUAUUUUCUUUGUGAGGAAUUUGGCAACAACUUAAGGUAUGAUGACUAAUUAUCUGGGAACUAAUAGUCAAAAAAGAAAAAGCCAGAAAACUGAGGGAGGAUUCUAGUUGCUGCUAAGCGAUAAAGGGAGUUGAAAAGAAAUGAUGA